rnacentral:misc_RNA from 1 species
GGUAUGCUUUUAAGAGAAGCAAUGGCGGAUCCUCUAUUGGAACGCUACAAAGUAAUUAUUCUUGAUGAAGCUCAUGAAGAACUUUGGCAACAGAUGUCCUGUUUGGGCUUUUGAAAGAGGUGUUGAAAAAUAGACCAGACCUAAAGCUAGUUGUUAUGAGUGCCACACUUGAAGCAGAGAAGUUUCAGGGUUACUUCUUUGGUGCACCUCUCAUGAAAGUUCCUGGAAGGCUCCAUCCAGUGGAAAUUUUCUACACGCAGGAUCCUGAGAGAGACUAUCUUGAGGCUGCCAUUCGGACUGUGGUGCAGAUUCACACAUGUGAACCUCCUGGUGACAUCCUUGUUUUCCUCACCGGAGAAGAGGAGAUUGAAGAUGCAUGUCGCAAAAUCACAAAGGAAAUUGGUAAUAUGGGUGAUCAAGUAGGCCCUGUUAAAGCGGUGCCUCUUUAUUCUACACUUCCCCCCGCUAUGCAGCAAAAGAUUUUUGAACCGGCCCCACCACCAGUUGUGGAGGGUGGUCCUCCUGGCAGGAAGAUUGUUGUGUCAACCAACAUUGCAGAAACAUCUUUGACAAUAGAUGGCAUUGUUUAUGUCAUAGAUCCAGGAUUUGCUAAGCAAAAGGUUUAUAAUCCAAGGGUGCGUGUGGAAUCUUUGUUGGUGUCUCCUAUUUCAAAGGCCAGUGCACACCAGAGAUCAGGACGUGCUGGAAGAACUCAGCCAGGAAAAUGCUUUAGACUUUACACGGAGAAAAGU